GAGAAGUCAGAUCGCGCUGUGCUGUAGCGCCGAGUCUUUGUUUAAACAUUGAUGAAAAAAAUAAGUUUUCUCCUUCCCAAAGUCACGUGCGAUUGCUGUCAAUGCUUCUAGUAGUGUAUGUGACAGUAUAAGGGUCUUCAGCGUAGGGAACAUACCUUCAUGAGCGACAUACCAUUGUUUACAAGCGCAGAAAUUAAAUACUAACCCACGGAAACUAAAGUGCGACUUGCGUUCUCAUGCUGGCACAGUGCAUGUAAAUACAAGUCCAGGUGUCCCAGUGAGUGUUGUGAUCAGUGUUCGUCCGUGAGUAAGAUCACAUGUCCUGCGGCAUCUCAGGUGGCGGGAGGAGGAGUGAGGGCGAGCGCAGGCCAAAUAGCUGUGGAGGAGAGCUGCAGGAUCUCCAGCCUUGCUUACCUAAAGCCAAUUAAUAUCAACAACUUAUCUUAAGAGUGCGUAUGGUAAAAAUAUAUGUGUGGUGCACGAAGACUGUGCAGCACACAUGUUGUGUGGUCGUAUCACGAAAAUCCUCCGGACAAUACUGCACACCCAUCCGUCUCGCUGCAGACCUGAGCGUGCGGUAAAACAUUCGCGACUGUGGCAACCUGUUCGCCUUCUCUUCCCGUAACUCCCAACGGCGUCAUAGAUCAUUGCAGCUAAUGCGUACACCCAGCACCUGGAGGGCCGAUGCACCAAACCCGAAAAAGCUCAAGGCUAAGGUGCAAGGCUGCCAGAUCAUCUCUGGAGUCGUCUUGAAAGACAACCAAUUUCGUAUCAGAUGUUCCCUUGGUCAAGAGUGACAACUGUCCGAGGGGACGACGACCUUGGCUGCUCGAGCUGUCGGGCCAACAGUGAACGAACACUUGCUGCUGCGUUGUAACUUCGGGUUGAACGGGUCCGUGCCGUCUCUGUCAUUGGGAUUUGACUCUGUUCGCAAAGCUCAGUCAGUAUGCAGUUCCUAAAAUGUAAAUAUUGGCCGCUAAAUAUUGGUUUAUCGUAUCAUAAGAUAUAGGCAAGAAUGAUAUGUUUAAUACAUCCAUAUAUUUAUAUUUGUAUUUAUCUAUCUAUCUAUCUAUCUAUCUAUAGAUACACACACACACACACACACACACACACUUACACACACAC
rnacentral:misc_RNA from 1 species